UGGCAAUCCUAGCUCUGUGACAGUGCUGGGGGCGUGCCAAUAGCUCUCUCUGAAUCCAGGGGCAAGUUUCACCAGCUGUAAAGCAGUUUUUGUGAAAGAACAAAGGUGUGAAUGAGUGGGCAGCAUUUUCUCAUAUAAGAUGUUGUCUAGCAGAAUGGGAGAUGCUCAUUCAUUCCAGCAACAUGGAAACGAAUGUCUUCAUCCACGAAUGCCAGAACUUCACAAAGACUUCCAAAGGCAUGCAGGAGCCUAGGCACUUCCAGUGUCGUUCCAGGUGUCUCCUGCUGGCACUUGUUAUUUUGCUGGGGAUCCUGGUCGGAGGAAUGGUUGGACUUUUUACCGUUUGGAUGGCACAGAAUGCAGUCGAAUCAAGAUUCACUUGUCCACAGGAAACACAACAGUCAAAUGUCACAUAUGGACUCAUCAACACCAUUAAUAUUUCAGUGGAGACAUAUCCUACUGUUUGGCACUUCAGAGUUCCACAAAACGGGACCUACCUUUUCUAUGGCGAAGUGCAAAAGAAUGAAAGAGACACUGAACACUGUAAGGAUGUGGUCAGGUUGGUCUGGAAGAGAUCAGCUGCGUCAGGAGAAGAAACUAGUAAAGAAGCCAGCUUUGAUCAUAAUUCUGGAAAUUAUGUGGCUGAAAUUGUAGCCUUUGAUAUCCAGCUCGAAGAAAACAGUUACUUGGACUUGGACAUCAAUUGCCAUAAUCAUAACACAAAGACAAAUGUCUUCAUCAGAGUGUUCAUAUUAAAAUAAUAUUAAAUCAGUUGAAAUUAGUUAAAAUAUUACUUUUCUCUUAAACUUCAUAUUUAAGACUGCACAACAUCCUUGAAAUAAUAAGCUACUUUCUGUUUCACAUAGCAUUUAAACAACACCUGUUCUGUGUGUGUGUGUGUGUGUGUGUGUGUGUGUGUGUGUGU
ensembl:lncRNA